rnacentral:rRNA from 1 species
CAGUCGCCGCGGGAAUACGAAGGGUGCAAGCGUUACUCGGAAUUACUGGGCGUAAAGCGUGCGUAGGUGGUGGUUUAAGUCCGUUGUGAAAGCCCUGGGCUCAACCUGGGAAUUGCAGUGGAUACUGGGUCACUAGAGUGUGGUAGAGGAUAGUGGAAUUUCCGGUGUAGCAGUGAAAUGCGUAGAGAUCGGAAGGAACAUCUGUGGCGAAGGCGACUAUCUGGGCCAACACUGACACUGAGGCACGAAAGCGUGGGGAGCAAACAGGAUUAGUACCCCCGUAGUCCCUGUCUCUUAUACA